rnacentral:rRNA from 1 species
CCGGCCGCUGCUACCGCUACCGCCGCCAAGCGACGCGGCGCUCCUCCGAGCCACCGAGGGACGAGGUCGGUUGCGUCCGCCGCCAGCGCCUCCUCCCUGCGGCGGAGCACGGUUCGUCCAAGUACGCGAGGGCGGUGGAGAGGUGGUUCGUACGAUCGCUCUGGACCUACCUUUUCUUCUACGUCUUCAACUCUAGAUACACCCGGGUCAUGUUCCGCCUGUAUCUCUCUUCCUACUCCCUUGGAGGUCUUCUCCUACUCAAAUUCAACGAACAGCUCAGGAUGCGUGCAUGCUAACUACCACACCAGGUACCUUGACGGUUCUACCGUGAAGAGACGUAGUAAGGUAAACGGGAAAAACGGCCGCUGUUGUUGUUCCCCCAUCUUCGUCUCAGACAAUGGUUCCUUCUGGUCACUUCUGUUUGUAGGUUUCUGCUCUUGGUUUCUACCUGGGGAUGAACAAAAGUCAAUUUAAUACUACUGGACGUCAAAGCGAUCGCUCGUGAUACGAUAGCAACACUAAAACACAUUGUACCAUGGUAGAUAAGCUGUACUUUGAACAUCCAACUACUCUUGUACGUAACGUAUCGAACAUACCAGUGACCGUACGUAAAACGACGAUGACCUCACGAACUUAGUUGAAUCUC